UAGCAGCCUGCUAUGUGGCAAGAAGGAAA
rnacentral:piRNA from 1 species